rnacentral:rRNA from 1 species
UCCUGGCUACAGAACGACGCUGGCGGCAUGCCUAACACAUGCAAGUCGAACGAGACCUUCGGGUCUAGUGGCGCACGGGUGCGUAACGCGUGGGAACCUGCCUUAGGUUCGGAAUAACUCAGAGAAAUUUGAGCUAAUACCGGAUAAUGUCUUCGGACCAAAGAUUUAUCGCCUUUAGAUGGGCCCGCGUUGGAUUAGCUAGUUGGUGGGGUAAAGGCCUACCAAGGCGACGAUCCAUAGCUGGUCUGAGAGGAUGAUCAGCCACACUGGGACUGAGACACGGCCCAGACUCCUACGGGAGGCAGCAGUGGGGAAUAUUGGACAAUGGGCGAAAGCCUGAUCCAGCAAUGCCGCGUGAGUGAUGAAGGCCUUAGGGUUGUAAAGCUCUUUUACCCGAGAUGAUAAUGACAGUAUCGGGAGAAUAAGCUCCGGCUAACUCCGUG